GUGUUCACUUCAGCAGCACAUAUACUAAAAUUGGAAUGAUACAGAAAAAAUUAUCAUGAUUCCUGUGUAAGAAUGACAUGCAAAUUCAUGAAGCAGUCUGUAUUUUU